rnacentral:rRNA from 1 species
ACGUAGGAGACAAACGUUAUCCGGAGUUACUGGGCGUAAAGGGCGUGUAGGUGGUUGUGUAAGUUCGGCGUGAAAUCUCUCGGCUUAACCGGGAGUGGUCGUCGGAUACUGCACGACUAGAGGACGGUAGAGGCGUGUGGAAUUCCGGGUGUAGUGGUGAAAUGCGUAGAGAUCCGGAGGAACACCAGUGGCGAAGGCGACACGCUGGGCCGUACCUGACACUGAGGCGCGAUAGCAUGGGGAGCAAACAGGA